AAAAAUAUCAGAUCUCAAUCUCAUGUAGAGCCAAGUUUCUAGGUAAAAAUGUAAAGCUUCGCCAUUUCACUACCGCCGUGGAGCACUUCAGGAUACUUCCUGGCUGGCUACUGCCAAUCACUUUAAUGAUCAUCAGUGUGUCAUUGAAUCAGUGAUGAAAUUGGUUUGGUGUAAUCAAAAGUAUUAGAGCUAUUUAAAAAAAAAGCCAAAAUUGAGACUGUAUAGUUUAUUAGUCUGUUAUUGACAUCAUAUCCUGACUAUCUGGUACAUCGGAAACCAAAUCUAUGAGCAUUGAAACACUUUGAGAAAAGCUCUGUAACAUCUACUAACUGCAGCCAGCUUUAGUGGCAAUCUGUCUGAUGAAUGGAUAGUGUUUCUAAAAAGCCCGGCAAGAGACAUUUCCGCUGUGCCUGAGAGAUAUAAAUC